AUGAAGGCGAAGCGGGAGGUGGAUGUGGAGUACAUCCUCUCCGUGGCAGCGCUCAUGGCACAACGCGGACGACCACACUUUGCGGUGGCGCGCGGCUACCUCGUCUCGGACGUGACCAAGUUUGGAUUCCGUGACCUUAACUUCGGCUGGGGCAAGCCAGUGUAUGCUGGUCCGGCGGAAGGCGGAGUCGUCGCCAUACCAGGCGUCGCCAGCUUCUUCAUUGCUUUACGGAACGCCAUGGGCGAGGAGGGUAUCGCAGUCCCGGUGUGCAUGCCCGGCCACACCAUGGACAAGUUCGUUAACGAGAUGGGCAAGCUCAUGCGCCCGGCAUUGGCUGACAUGUUUUCCAAGAUGUGA
rnacentral:rRNA from 1 species